rnacentral:rRNA from 1 species
UACAGAGGGGGCAAGCGUUGUUCGGAAUUACUGGGCGUAAAGCGUGCGUAGGCGGUUCCUCAAGUCCGUUGUGAAAGCCCCGGGCUCAACCUGGGAAUGGCAGUGGAAACUAGGGGACUGGAAUCUGGCAGAGGGGGGUGGAAUGCCGCGUGUAGCAGUGAAAUGCGUAGAGAUGCGGCGGAACACCGAUGGCGAAGGCAGCCCCCUGGGCUGAGAUUGACGCUCAGGCACGAAAGCGUGGGGAGCAAACAGG